CCCUUAGAUGUCCUGGGCCGCACGCGCGUUACACUGAUGCAUUCAACGAGCUUAUAACCUUGGCCGAGAGGCCUGGGCAAUCUUGUUAACGUGCAUCGUGAUAGGGAUGGAUUAUUGAAAUUAUUAAUCUUGAACGAGGAAUUCCUAGUAAACGCAGAUCAUCAAUCUGCAUUGAUUACGUCCCUGCCCUUUGUACACACCGCCCGUCGCACCUACCGAUUGGAUGGUCCGGUGAAGCCUCGGGAUUGUGGUUCUUGCCGCUUUAUUGUGGCGUGACCGCGAGAACUUGUCUAAACCUUAUCAUCUAGAGGAAGGUGAAGUCGUANCA
rnacentral:rRNA from 1 species